rnacentral:tRNA from 1 species
GCCCCCAUCGUCUAGAGGCCCAGGACAUUGGAUUCUCAGUCCAAAGACAGGGGUUCAAAUCCCCUUGGGGGUA